rnacentral:lncRNA from 1 species
GACAUUCGACACCCUUAGUCGAGAAUGUUCUUCCCACAAUUCCAGGAUCUUCUGACUAAUCUCUGCCGAACCUCCCUUUCCACCUUGAAGGGUCCCAUUCCUACUCGAAGGGUAUUUUGGUCUUCUUGCAGAUUUCUCGUCAACCGCUCUGAUACCAAUUGUUGGGAUUGUGAAAUCUCAUGUCCAACUCUAUAUUAUCCGAUUAGUACGAUAUUGUCCACUUUGGGCCUAAUUAGCAAGCCCGCAUGGUUUUA